rnacentral:lncRNA from 1 species
GUGCCUAACAAGAUUUUGUGAGGUAGACGAAAUUGACCUCAAAACGAUCGUAUUGACUUUAUGGGUCCCAAAAUAGGUAGAUCGGACAUAUUUUGACUUUAUUUAAUGGCUUCUUUAGUUUGGGAUUAAUUGUAAUUAGUAUGUUCCUAUGAGACUGAAAAAUUAUAUUUUUUGUAAGAUAAAUAAUAUUUUUACCUGGCGUAGCCGUGCGUAAAAUGUAUUUUGGCAUUUCUCUUCGAAAAAUGACUUUUUGAUUGGAAUAAAACUUCUUAUUUGUAAACUUUUUCUGUUUUUCUCCGCAAUUGCCUAUUAAAAAA